GAGGUUGCAGUGAGCCAAGAUCACGCCACUGCGUGAUCACGCCACUCCAGCCUGGUGACAGAGGGAGACUGUGUCUCAAAAAAAAAAAAAAAAGAAAAGAAAAGAAAAGAAAAUGGCAGAGCUCAGGUUGAAGUGAUUCUAAAGCCUUUGAUGCUAACUGCUCUAGCGUCUUAGAGGACUGAGUAAAACCAUUCCCUGUCAUCCAGGUACCAUUGUUAGUCAAGCUCCUGUGGAAACACAUUCAAAUGGGGCAAUCGAGGAACACUUAAUGAACAGUCUGUUUUUUUGUUUGUUUGGUUGGUUGGUUGUUUUUUGAGAGAGAGUCUCACUAUGUUGCCCAGGCUGGAGUGUAGUGGUACAACCUCCGCCUCCCAGGUUCAAGUGAUUCUCCUGCCUCAGCCUCUCAAGUGGCUGUGACUACAGGUAUACACCACCAUGCCCAGCUAAUUUUUAUAUUUUCAGUAGAGACAAGGUUUCACCAUGGAGGCCAGGCUGUAAUGAAGGGUCUAUUUUAAAAGGUGUGGGCAGGGUUAAGGGAAAUGAGUGAGGGGUAGUGAAGUCCCCUGGCUCUAGACACUGCAGGGAGUCUGUUACCAUCCCUGUGGCUGAGAGAGGAGGGAAGAGGAGUGAGUGGUUCUAGAACCCAGACAGAGAGGAACUGGAGAGAGUGGAGAAGCCUACGGUACAGAAAGGCUGAACUUCUGAAAGGAACAUUGUUAACUUGAGCUGACUUAGCAGGGAAGGAGCCAAGGAACACAGAGCCUGACCUCAUUCUUCUUUCUCCCUCCAGGCUCUGUCACUAUUUCCCAUUGGCCAAACGCUACUGGAAGUGGAAGGCUAAGAAGCCCGAUGGUGCAAUCCAUACACGUCAGCCUCUGGGGCCAGAGUGGGAUGAAAAAAGGCUCAUGAUGGAGCCCGAGUUAUAUGGCAGGAGAUGAUUUCCACGGUCUGUGAACACUGAAGAUGAGACUGGCUUGGGGCCACGUGCCAAACUGCACAGCCAGUAAGACCUGCUUCCAUCGACCCACAGCAGCUCUGACUUUUUUUUUUUAACAAUAGAGAAGAAACUACCACAGGGAAGAGAGAGAACAAUGGCAUUUUGACAAAUGGAACAAAGAUAGAGUGUGACUGACAAUUCAGGUCAGAAGGAAAAUUAAAGCACAGGAAGACUGAUGUUGGUCGGCCUCCUUGCCAAGAAGCAAAAACUCAGGGGGAGGCAUCCAGCCACAUGCGAACUGGCUCAACACUGGCCAUUUUGUUUGAGCAAUUUUGUUGGAUGUUUUCUACAAAAGAGCACUUUUUCUCGGACUUCAAACAUUCUUAUAUGCAGGAUCGACACCACACACUGCCAUCAUCCCCUGGAGUAGUAUCCUUGAGACCUGAGGAGGGGAAAACUGGAGGGACGUUGUGGGACUCCAUUGAGAAAUGUGGUCCUUUGUCUCCCUGGAGAUCUUUGAGGACGGUUCAGAUAAAGUUGCUGCCAGUGGAAGCAGCUAGGCUCAGAAACCUCCAGUUGCCCUUUCUAGACUUGUAAUCCUCUGAAAAAUGGAAAUUAGGAAGCGUUCAUUUAUGACCUUGAAAAAAAUCGUUUACAAAAGUAUAUUAUAUCACUAAAAUGAGCUGGAAAAAGGGUUUAUGUGAAAGUUCAUGUGAGAAACACAGCUAUUAGCACGCAUGCCAUUCCCCACCUUGACCUCAGCAGGAAUGUGUAAAUUGUAACAUAUGGAAUGUAAGCCCUGUCGAGAUGUUUCAUAAAUCUGCCUGGCAAUGAGCAUCACAAGGCCCUGCAUGAGAACAGGCCCCAGAAAUGGAGAGACAAAUAAAGAAACAUCAGAAAUAUUAAAAUGAGGACCAAAAGGAGUCCCAGGUAUAGGAGCAUGAAACAUCUGGCAACAUGUAGCAAAAACAGGAGACUUUUUUCUUCUAACGGAAUUUUGGCCUCUUGGUGCCAGUAUGUGAAAAAGGCCUUGUAGGCCAGGUGCAGAGGCUCACGCCUGUAAUCCCAGCACUUUGGGAGGCCGAGGCUGGCAGAUUACGAGGUCAGGAGUUCAAGACCAGCCUGGUCAACAUGGUGAAGCCCCGUCUCUACUAAAAAUACAAAAAUUAGUUGGGCGUGGUGGCGCAUGCCUGUAAUGCCAGCUACUUGGAAGGCUGAGGCAGGAGAGACGCUUGAACCCUGGAGGCGGAGGUUGCAGAGAGCCAAGAUCGCACCACUGCACUCCAACCUGGGUGACAGGGUGAGACUCCAUCUCAAAAAAGAAAAAAGAUAAAGGCCUUGUAAUUGGCCAGAAUGAGGGGAAGUUAGACAAGAGAGGAAGAAAUAUAAAUAUAAUUAAACUGUCGGAAUUGAUUUUUUUUUUUUUUUUUGAGAUGGAGUCUUGCUCUGUCACCCAGGCUGGAGUGCAGUGGCGUGAUCUUGGCUCACUGCAAGCUCCGCCUCCCAGGUUCACACCAUACUCCCGCCUCAGCCUCCUGAAUAGCUGGGACUACAUGGGCCCGCCACUACACCCGGCUAAUUUUUUUGUUUUUGUAUUUUUAGUAGAGAUGGGGUUUCACCGUGUUAGCCAGGAUAGUCUCAAUCUCCUGACCUCAUGAUCCGCCUGCCUUGGCCUCCCAAAGUGCUGGGAUUACAGGUGUGAGCCACCAUGCCCAGCCAAAUUUUCAAAUAAAUAAAUAAAUGUGUAGCAAAAGCAAAUGGGCUGGUUUGUUUUGGUUUGUGUGGUUUUUUUAAUGCCUGUAAUGAGAUUGGGCUGGGGGUGCAGGAAGCAGACCGAGCGAUAGAGGACCCAGGCUCAUUAUGGCUCUGCAGGAAAUAGCAUGGGUCCAGGGACUAAUGUGGAAAAGGAAAGCAUCUGGAGAUGGAGUCAAGAGAGAUGGUUUCUAACCACCAAUAAGCAUUUGACAAGGAAAGCCCCAUAACCUCCCUACUCAGCCUACCCUGUAAGGAUUCUGUGAGAGGCACCUGUAUUCACGGACUCUGUAAAGCUCUAGGGAAUCCUCAGGAGAAGCCUAUCUUACUGGCAUGUGAGAAUCCUCCAAGAUCUCACCAGCCCCACCAGCUUGAGAGUGGCCUAGAAGGACCUUCUGCCUCUGUCCUCCCAAAGUGACUCCUAUUAAAGGCAAAAUGUGUCCGAGUCAGCCCAUCUUAAAUGGCUGACUAGUGAAAUUUAUUUCUGCAUGCAACAGAAUACCUUUUUUUUUCCUCCCUUCUGCCUGGGUCUAUGACUUGGUUGUGCUCAGCAGAAGGAAGGUAGGAAAGGCACAUUUUGAAAGUGUAGCGAGCAUUUGAGCAGACUGAAUUCAAUUUUGGAUACAAAUGUCAAGGAAAGAUUCUCUUGGCUCUGAGCUCCUUGCUCACUGAGGCGCAGUGUGAUGCUCCAUUGAAAGACCUGCUGAUCUGGCCAGUGCUGGGCUGAUGAUAAUAAAGGGGGAGCGAGGGGCAGACCACUGAGCAGGAGGAGGAAUGACCUUCCAGAGGAUGUGUUGGAAAGACUCUGCCAGGCUCUCCUGCACACACUGGACAGAGGGCAAGAACCUGGAGAUCUGCUUCAGUCCCAGCUGUGCCAUGAAUAUGCUGUGCAUAUAGCCCCUUCCCUCAGCUUAGGCUUGAUUUUCCUGGCCCAUAAAAUGAAAGAACUGGAACAGAUAAUCUCUAAGGCUUUUUCUUUCCAAUAUUUUAUGAUUCUGGCAUUUAAAGCAUCUGCAGGUGCCGGAGAGGAAUGCCAGCAAAGAGUGUAUGAGAAAAAUUGGCAUAACUAUUGGGAGGGUAAUUUGAUAUUAGCUUUCAAAUUUUUUAUUAUUUCGUUUAAUUUUUUUGGGGGGGACAGCAUCUUGCCCUGCCACCCAGGCUAGUGUGCAGUGGCAUGAUCAUGGUUCACUGCAGCCUCUAUCUCUGAGGCUCAAGUGAUCCUCCCACCUCAGCCUCCCAAGUAGCUGGCACUACAAGCAUAUGCCACCAGGCCUGGCUAGUUUUUUUUUUUUUUUUUUUUUUGAGACAGAGUCUCACUCUGUCACCCAGGCUGGAGUGCAGUGGCUGAUCUCGGCUCACUGCAAGCUCUGCUUCCCAGGUUCACACCAUU
rnacentral:lncRNA from 1 species